ensembl:lncRNA
CAGACUAUCAAACUGCCGCUGUGAUUGUGCGCAUACAUUGAAACUAAGCCUGUUUGUUACCAACAUGAGGGCGUGGCAGAGGGAGGUGAUGGAGGACCUGCCUGGUGAAGGAUGUCCUGCUGGACGAGAGACACCGACUCUAAAGGGACGACCACUGAGGAGAGAGAGCUAGAGCCGUGCAUCUGGAAGGUGAAUCUGGUGCCGACGGCCCUCUACAGGCCAGGAUAAGUCUGGGGCCGACGCACCUGAGCGGCACCCCACCUGCUCCUCUGCACAGCUGGACUCCUUCAGAGGGACAAACAAACGGCAUCACAGCCGAGCUCAUCGCUGGACUGGAUUCAUCUCCUACACUCAGACCUUCACCUCAUGCUGCUCACUGGGACCCUCCUCAGGGCUCUCAUUGGGACUCCCCUCAGGGCGUCCAUCAGGGCUCCUCCCCUCAGUGGGGGGGCUCCUGCUCCCCGCAGUCGGGUGUUCCUCAGGGUACAGUGUUAGGGAGAGAUCGUCGAGGUAUCGGCCCCAGGCCUUUGGCCGGGUCAAGAUUACAGUCGUCCGUCAUCCGACAAAGGCUGCAGCUCUGGCCCAGGAGCUAUCCGCCCUCGAUCGCCUCCUGGGUCGCGAUCGAGCCAGUGGACCCUCAGUUAUAACCCGGGGGGUUCUACUCAGCGUACUUUCUGGUAUCCGAGAAAGCCGGCGGAUUCCGGCCAAUUCUAGAUCUAAGGGGCCUGAACACGUUUUUAACGGUUUUACCAUUCCACAUGCUCACCUCUGCAGACACCCUGAGGGUAGUUGCCAGGGGGGAGUGGCUCACGACUAUAGACCUAAACGACGCCUAUUUUCUUGUGCCGGUUGCGUCACACGACAGGCUGUUCCUGAGGUUUGCCUAUCGGGGCCGGCAUUUCCAGUUCAGGGUACUUCCCUUCGGGAUUUCCCUCUCCCCGAGGGUUUUCACCAGGGUUGUGGCGGCAGCCCUUGCACCCCUGCAGACGUGAGAAUGAAGGUCCUGCCGUAUCUGGACGACUGGCUGGUCUGUGCGCCGUCCAGGUCCCAGGUGGCCCAGGACACGGCCCGCCUGCUGUCGCACGUCGCCCGGCUGGGCUUGACGGUGAACCGAUUGAAGAGUUGCCUGGACCCUUCCCAACGGGUUACCAAUCUGGGGUUGGUCCUAAACUCGGUCGCCAUGAGGGCCUACCUUUCAGGACUGCGCAGGGACGGGGGUCUGGCCGAGACAUUGCACAAAACAUCAAUGUGCUAGAGCUCCGGGCUGUGCAGCUGGCACUGGCCAGCUUUCUGCCCCAUUUGGCAGGCCAGCAUGUCCUGGUCCGGUCGGAUAACAUGGCCACGGUUUCCCAGGUGAACCACCAGGUGGGCACCAGGUCGGCACGGCUUCUCCGGGUAUCCCAGAGCCUGUUGACUUGGGCUUCUCCCGGGCGGCAGACUUCCUCUCC